rnacentral:rRNA from 1 species
UGAGGAACAUGACCUUCGGCGGGGGAUAGCCGGCCCAACGGCCGGGUAAUACCGCGUACGACCUUUCGGGGACAUCCUCGGAUGGUGAAAGCAGCAAUGCGCCGAUGGAGUGCCUCGCGGCCUAUCAGCUUGUUGGUGAGGUAACGGCUCACCAAGGCGACGACGGGUAGCUGGUCUGAGAGGAUGGCCAGCCACAUUGGGACUGAGACACGGCCCAGACCUCCUACGGGAGCAG